CCUACGGGAGGCAGCAGUAGGGAAUAUUGCUCAAUGGGGGAAACCCUGAAGCAGCAACGCCGCGUGGAGGAUGAAGGUUUUCGGAUUGUAAACUCCUUUUGUUAGGGAAGCAAAUGACGGUAUCUAACGAAUAAGCACCGGCUCACUCCGUGCCAGCAGCCGCGGUAAUACGGAGGGUGCAAGCGUUACUCGGAAUCACUGGGCGUAAAGAGCGCGUAGGCGGGAUAGCAAGUCAGAUGUGAAAUCCUAUGGCUUAACCAUAGAACUGCAUUUGAAACUGUUAUUCUAGAGUAUGGGAGAGGUAGGUGGAAUUCGUGGUGUAGCGGUAAAAUGCGUAGAGAUCAAGAGGAAUACUCAUUGCGAAGGCGACCUGCUAGAACAUAACUGACGCUGAUGCGCGAAAGCGUGGGGAGCAAACAGGAUUAGAUACCCGAGUAGUC
rnacentral:rRNA from 1 species